UACACAUGCAAGUCGAACGGUGAAGCCAAGCUUGCUUGGUGGAUCAGUGGCGAACGGGUGAGUAACACGUGAGCAACCUGCCCUGAACUCUGGGAUAAGCGCUGGAAACGGCGUCUAAUACUGGAUAUGAGCUGCGGAGGCAUCUUCGUGGUUGGAAAGAUUUUUCGGUUUGGGAUGGGCUCGCGGCCUAUCAGCUUGUUGGUGAGGUAAUGGCUCACCAAGGCGUCGACGGGUAGCCGGCCUGAGAGGGUGACCGGCCACACUGGGACUGAGACACGGCCCAGACUCCUACGGGAGGCAGCAGUGGGGAAUAUUGCACAAUGGGCGGAAGCCUGAUGCAGCAACGCCGCGUGAGGGAUGACGGCCUUCGGGUUGUAAACCUCUUUUAGCAGGGAAGAAGCGAAAGUGACGGUACCUGCAGAAAAAGCGCCGGCUAACUACGUGCCAGCAGCCGCGGUAAUACGUAGGGCGCAAGCGUUAUCCGGAAUUAUUGGGCGUAAAGAGCUCGUAGGCGGUUUGUCGCGUCUGCUGUGAAAUCUGGGGGCUCAACCCCCAGCCUGCAGUGGGUACGGGCAGACUAGAGUGCGGUAGGGGAGAUUGGAAUUCCUGGUGUAGCGGUGGAAUGCGCAGAUAUCAGGAGGAACACCGAUGGCGAAGGCAGAUCUCUGGGCCGUAACUGACGCUGAGGAGCGAAAGGGUGGGGAGCAAACAGGCUUAGAUACCCUGGUAGUCCACCCCGUAAACGUUGGGAACUAGUUGUG
rnacentral:rRNA from 1 species